rnacentral:lncRNA from 1 species
GCGCACACGGUGGAACAGGAUGAGCACGAGGCUGAAGGAUGAAGGUCACAUGAGAGCCAUGGCCAGGUUUAAAAACAAAAGGAUGGAAAACUCCAAGCCGGAGUCUGAGAGGGACUCGGGCUUCUCAGACGGCGGCUCGGUGGAUCAGACGGACACAGACGAUGUGUCACGGUCGUCCUCACGAUCGUCGCAGCUGACCGCAGUGGUUGGUGGAGCUCUGCAGGGCCUCUCGCCAAUGAUCUUCAUGAACAAUGUGGUUCUAAAGCAGGUGAACUUCAGACCUUCUGCGUUUGCUUUUGUCCUCAUGGGUCCUUGUGAUUUUUCAGAUGAAUUCCAAUUUAAUGUUUUGCCACGAUUUAAUUUUUUAGAUGGCGAUUUUGAAUAAAAAUAUAAUCAAAUGUUAGAUUUAGACACUUUUGACACUUUUCUUUAGCUAGAGGUUUAAUGCAGAACAAGUUACUUGAAUCAUAUUGUAGUCAUGGAAGUGAGACAUUUAUAUGUGAGGCAUUUAAUAAACAUGCAACUUCUGACUAUAUCUUAAGGUCAAAACAAUGCCAGAGUUGUGCGGCGUUGUUCAGACUAUAUGUGACCCUGGAGAGCAAAACCAGUCAUAAAGGGGUGAAUUUUUUUUUUAAAUCUGAAAACUGAAUAAAUCAUCUCUCCAUUGAUGUAUGGUUUGUUAGGAGGACAAUAUUUGUCUAAGAUACAACUAUUCGAAAAUCUGGAAUCUGAGGGAGCAAAAAAAUCUAAAUAUUGAGAAAAUCACCUUUAAAGUUGUUCAAAUGUAUAUUACUAAUCAAAAAUUAAGUUUUGAUAUAUUUACGGUAUGAAAUUUACUAAAUAUCUUCAUGGAACAUGAUCUUUACUUAAUAUCCUAAUGAUUUUUGGCAUAAAAGAGAAAUGUAUAAUUGUGACCCAUACAAUGUAUCGUUGUCUAUUGUUACAAAUAUACCUGUGCUACUUAUGACUGUUUCUGUGCUGCAGGGACACAUAUGGUUGUGCGUUCACUCUUUAAUAAGCUUCAGCCUUAACCUAGUUCAGUGCAUAAGCUCUUUACACUCCUGCUGUCAUUUUCAACCCUUAUGUUUCAAAGUUUUGGGUGAAUGAAUUUGGACUCUCAAACAAACAUUAGUAUUAGGCCUCUUUUAUGUGAGACAUGAGCAGAUUUUGUCAGAUCUAGCUGAAGACCUACGGUAGAUCGUAUUUUUGUGCAUCACAGAAUGAGACGAUAUGCAAAAACACAGAUCAAGUAUGUGGCACAGCCGUUUUGUGUCAUUUCUCAUAGCAAUUAUGAGUAAUUAUGAAAAAUGGUUCAUUGCAGACUGUCAAAAGUAGGAUAGGCUGCAGCCCUUCCCAUCAUCUGACCUCUAUUCUCCAACAUGACUUUGUGUUUUUAUUAAAGUUAUGUAGGAUCUUGUCCUUAAAACAAAAGCAUCAGAAUGAAUCUGGUCUUUCAGAGAAGCACAAUGUCCAGCUCAUAUUUUACCCCAAAAUCAAAAGAAAAAUGAAUAAGAAUUUAAAUUUCUGUUCUGUUUUAGGACCAAUAAGGCAAGACACUACAGAAGAACAGGGUAAAUUUAAAAAAUACAUUAAGACAAUUAAAUUAAUUGAAGUUUUUUGAAAUGUUAUGUUUACAUUUGCAUAAUAUUAUUACAGAAUAUAGAGAGGAAUAAAACUGUAAGUUUAGGUGUGUGUGUGUAGUAAUUGUGAUAAAGUGGAGAAACAAACUAAAGGGGAAUAAAAACUGUAAGUUUAGGUGUGUGUGUGUGUAAUUGUGAUAAAGUGGAGAAACAAACUAAUUAUGAGAAAAAUGGCCUAAAAUUAAGAAGUGCAAAUAGAUAAAGUGUAAAAAUUAAACCAGGUGAAUGAUAUAUGAACAAACCCCCUCAGUAAAAAUCUUCAGAUUAUAGAUAGGAAUAAAACUCUAAGUUUUGGUCUAUGUAAGUGCUGCUAAAGUGGAGAAACAAACUAAAAGCCUUUAAAAAUAUGCAUUUUCGCCAUGUUUUUAGGAAUAAAAUGUUAUAUAAAUAAGUGUGAAUGUUAUAUGAACAAACCCCUCAGUAAAAAUCUUAAGAAUAUAGAGAGGAAUAAAACUCUAAGUUUUGGUGUAUGUAAGUGCUGCUGAAGUGGAGGAAAAACUUUUAAAGAUAUAUACUUUAAUUGAAAUCUAUAGUAAAAUACACUUAUAUUUGUAUUUUGGAUGUUUUCUUUCCACUAGUCUGAAAUAAAGACAUGUUAUCCAGCAAAACAAGGUUUUUUUAUUUAUUUAUUUUUUUUUACAGCUAAAGAUAGCUGGAAGCAACACCCAUAACAUUUUCACAUGUCUGCACCCAUUUUUUACCUGAAGAAUAAGGUGGAUAAAAGCCAAGUAGAGCUUUAAACCGACCAGGUUUUGUCUGUAGUGUCUUGCCUUCUGAUUUAAUGUCAUUUCACUUACAGUACACUGUGCCUCCAGUUUCAAAUACAGUUUUCUUUCUCUUGAUUUUUAUUUGAAAUGUGACUGGCUCAUGUUCUGUGGGGUCCAUAUCUGUAUUAUUGAGAACUUAUAAGGUGAAUUGUUUUUAUAGCCAUAUUGUUUUGUUUUAUUAGAUCAGUGGGUCGUUUUUUGUGCGAUGUGAUCAUUUAUGGUGACUCAGAGAUUCAGUUUUAUCGUGAGGAGUGUUGGAUGAGUUCAUUCAGUCUUAUUUUGGACAAGUGCUGCGAGUCUGUCAGACAAGAACACAUCAGUGAUCCUUUGUUUGUGUGAUGAUGAAUAAUGAAUAAUGUUCUCUGCGGUUAUCAGCUCUCAUCUUGCCUUACUCAAUGAAGUUUCAUUCUUCAAGAUUUCUUUGGCAGCUACUCAUUACCACUAGCUCAUAAAUCAUUGAUUUAAUUCCAGGAGCUUGUUUUGCAUGUGUAGGUGCACAUAUGUCAUAUGGCUUACAUAUUCCAUGUGCACAGGAAGGUUUUUUCUUAGGGGUGUUCUUGUGAUUCACAUGCAUGUGCUUUAACAGCUGUAUACAGUACAGUCGAGAGUAGAAACGGCAGGUGUUUUAGGACAUAGGACUGUUUUCUAGUGAAGCUUGUUUCCACAACAGAAUAAAAAAAAAUACAAAAGUUUUUUUUUUUAUUAGGGUGUUCUUAGUGAUUCACAUGCAUGUGCUUUAACAGCUGUAUACAGUACAGUCGAGAGUAGAAACGGCAGGUGUUUUAGGACAUAGGACUGUUUUCUAGUGAAGCUUGUUUCCACAACAGAAUAAAAAAAAUCUAAAAGUUUUUUUUUUUUUCAAUUCUGAGGAAAAAGUCUGAAGUGCGAGUUGUUAACUUAGAAAUCAGACUUUUCUUAGAAUUUCUAUAUGUUAAGUCAGAAUUGUGAGAUGAAAAUUUAGAAUUGCAAUGUUAACUCGCAAUUUACAGUUUAUAACCUGCAAUAGAGAUAUAAACUCACAGAAGAAAAGUCUAAAUAACGAGAUUAAGUUGCAAUUUAGAAUUUAUAACUCACAUUAAAAAACUAAGAUAUUAACUCACUUUUCUAUAAAGAAAUGUCCGAAUUAUGAGAUGUUUAUAAUGUUUCAGUAAAGAUAGAAAUGUUUACUCGCAAUUCUAAAAAGAAAAAAUAUCUUGCAAUUCUGAGUUUAAAUAUCACAGUGCAGACUUAAUUUGCAAUUCUGAUAUGAAAAGUCAAAUGUUGUAAGAUAAAAAGUUGCAAUAACCGUUUUAUUUCUUUAAUCCAUGGCUUCCAUAGUUUUCAUGUGUUGGUGUUUCCUGACACUAAUUGCCUUGUGUGUUAAUGGCAGUCUAAGCUUUUUUUUUGUAAAAACAAUCAAACAAACAAACAAAAACCUUUUAUAAGCCAGCAGUUUUGAUGAAGCUUUCCGUGUGUUUAGCUGUCUGAUCAUCUCUGCAGAUUUGAUUCAGAGCACAAUAAACAUCAUGAAGCAGCAUUAAAGAAUGUUUUUGAAUCAUUUCAAAGCCAGAAGGGCUUCAAAUGUGACGUCUGCUAAAGACGAGCCUCUUAUUCUGAACUAUAAUCUACUAAAACAAUGAAUUUAGAGAGGCAAUCAUCUGAUUCUGGCUGUUGCUCUUAUUACUGAUAUUUGUUAUUCCUGUCUUUUGUAAGUAUAAUAAUAAUAUGCCGUUUUGUGUAUGAAGAUGUUUUUGUAUUUUUCUUUGCUGUUCAGUAGAUAAUCCUCACAUUUGUGGUUGUGAGUACAGACGGAUAGACGUGUGAGUACAGCAGAAGUGUGAAUGGUUUUUUGUGUCAUAACCGCUCAAUCCUGUUCAUCUGUGUGCUCUUACAUUAAUCCAGCAUUAUAUUGACUUACAAUCAUCAGUAAUACAUGAUGUUCUAGAUCAUCUUCAGUUCAUCUUUCAAACAGGAUAUGAAUAAACAUUUCUCAGCUGUACAAAACCAAAGCUGUGGCUAUAUGUUCAUUUACUGAUUCUUUGUUGUUUUUUGUUCUUUUUACUAUUUGUUACUUUUUUUUCCUACUUCUUUAACUUUUAAGACUAUUGUUUUACUGUAAUAAUACACUGUAAAAUGUUUCAUUUAUGUCAUAAAGUUAUUAAAAUUAAUUU